CCUGGCAGCUGUAGCGCGGUGGUCCCACCUGACCCCAUGCCGAACUCAGAAGUGAAACGCCGUAGCGCCGAUGGUAGUGUGGGGUCUCCCCAUGUGAGAGUAGGGAACUGCCAGGC
rnacentral:rRNA from 1 species